rnacentral:rRNA from 1 species
GACGAACGCUGGCGGCGUGCUUAACACAUGCAAGUCGAACGGAAAGGCCCCUUUGGGGGUACUCGAGUGGCGAACGGGUGAGUAACACGUGAGUAACCUGCCCUUGACUUCGGGAUAACUUCAGGAAACUGGGGCUAAUACCGGAUAGGAAUCCUUGCUGCAUGGUGGGGGUUGGAAAGCUUCGGCGGUUUUGGAUGGACUCGCGGCUUAUCAGCUUAUUGGUGGGGUAGUGGCUUACCAAGGCUUUGACGGGUAGCCGGCCUGAGAGGGCGACCGGCCACAUUGGGACUGAGAUACGGCCCAGACUCCUACGGGAGGCAGCAGUGGGGAAUAUUGCACAAUGGGCGGAAGCCUGAUGCAGCAACGCCGCGUGCGGGAUGACGGCCUUCGGGUUGUAAACCGCUUUCAGCAGGGGCGAAGCUUGUGGUGACGGUACCUGCAGAAGAAGCACCGGCUAACUACGUG